rnacentral:rRNA from 1 species
UUAAAUUGAAGAGUUUGAUCAUGGCUCAGAUUGAACGCUGGCGGCAGGCCUAACACAUGCAAGUCGAACGGUAACAGGAAGCAGCUUGCUGCUUUGCUGACGAGUGGCGGACGGGUGAGUAAUGUCUGGGAAACUGCCUGAUGGAGGGGGAUAACUACUGGAAACGGUAGCUAAUACCGCAUAACGUCGCAAGACCAAAGAGGGGGACCUUAGGGCCUCUUGCCAUCGGAUGUGCCCAGAUGGGAUUAGCUAGUAGGUGGGGUAACGGCUCACCUAGGCGACGAUCCCUAGCUGGUCUGAGAGGAUGACCAGCCACACUGGAACUGAGACACGGUCCAGACUCCUACGGGAGGCAGCAGUGGGGAAUAUUGCACAAUGGGCGCAAGCCUGAUGCAGCCAUGCCGCG